UUAUCUUAGUGGCGGACGGGUGAGUAACGCGUGAGCAACCUGCCUUUCAGAGGGGGAUAACGUCUUGAAAAGGACGCUAAUACCGCAUGACAUUACGUUUUCGCAUGGAGAUGUAAUCAAAGGAGCAAUCCGCUGAAAGAUGGGCUCGCGUCCGAUUAGGUAGUUGGCGGGGUAGAGGCCCACCAAGCCGACGAUCGGUAGCCGGACUGAGAGGUUGAACGGCCACAUUGGGACUGAGACACGGCCCAGACUCCUACGGGAGGCAGCAGUGAGGGAUAUUGGUCAAUGGGGGAAACCCUGAACCAGCAACGCCGCGUGAGGGAUGACGGCCUUCGGGUUGUAAACCUCUGUCCUCUGUGAAGAUAAUGACGGUAGCAGAGGAGGAAGCUCCGGCUAACUACGUGCCAGCAGCCGCGGUAAUACGUAGGGAGCAAGCGUUGUCCGGAUUUACUGGGUGUAAAGGGUGCGUAGGCGGUUUGGUAAGUCAGAAGUGAAAUCCAUGGGCUUAACCCAUGAACUGCUUUUGAAACUGUCGAACUUGAGUGAAGUAGAGGUAGGCGGAAUUCCCGGUGUAGCGGUGAAAUGCGUAGAGAUCGGGAGGAACACCAGUGGCGAAGGCGGCCUACUGGGCUU
rnacentral:rRNA from 1 species